ensembl:lncRNA
AAUAGUAAUACUAAUCCUUAUAAUACAUUUGAAAUAAUAAAGAAAAUAAUAAAGAUUACAGAGUCCACUUACCUCCACCAAAUGAAAAGAUGCAUGGAUGCGAUAGUCUACUUCUUUCUUACCUUAUGCAGGCAGGGAGGACCUCUUUGGGGAUUCACGCCAAAUACCUGAUUAAAAAUAAAAUAAAUAAAGUAAAAUACAUGUGUGGCUAUAAGGGAACCUAUGCUGAGGGACAUGAAAAGCAAGUUAAACCAAGCAGUUUACUGUUAUCCAGUUCAUGGGGUUCCAUGAAAAAUAAGGGAAGACAGAUUAGCCAAGGAUUUUUUUUCUUUUGAAAGUCCUAAUGGAAAAGGGAAUUGACACCAACAGUACAAGAAUUAGUGCUAAAUGUUAUAAAUUGUACUUCUGUAAUUUUUCUUUCUACUAUUCUAGAUGAAUGAUUUUAGCAGCACAGUAAGCAUCACCUGGGGUUUAAGACUACCCUCCAACCUUGAGAACUGCCAUAGUUACAUUGUUACUGCAGGAGUGUUUCAUAACCACAAAGUAUGUUAAAGUGAUAAGAAGUUUUUUGUUUGUUUCGUCUUUUAAGGGCCAUACCGAGGGCAUAUGGAAGUUCCCAGGCUUGGGGGUCAAAUCAGAGCUAAGGCUGCUGGCCUACACCACAGCCACAGCAAUGCACGAUCUCAGCUGCGUCUGUGACCUACACCACAGCUCAGGGCAACACCAGAUCCUUAACCCACAACAGAUGGAGUGAGGCCAAGGAUUGAACUGACAUCCUCAUGCAUACUAGUCAGAUUCCUUGUUUCUGCUGAGCCACAAGGAGGAACUCCCUAAAGUGGUAAAAAGUUUGAUUAAUCCCAUUCUACAGAAGUUCAUCUUUUUAAAAAAAAAAGUUGGUUAAGAUGUUUAUACAAGAGUUCCCACUGUGCCUCAGGGGGUUAAAGAUCCAACACUGUCUCUGUGAGAAUGCAGGUUUGACCCCUGGCCUCAUUCCAUGGAUUAAGGGUCUGGUGUUGACAGAAGCUAUGGGGCAUAGGUUAAAGAUGCGGCUAGAAUCCUGUGUUACCGUGGCUCUGGUGUGGGCCACAGAUUCAGCUCCAAUUCCACCCCUAACCCAGGAACUUCCAUUAAAAAAAAGGAAAGAAAAAGAUGGUUAUGUAAUUUAAAAGCUGUUUAAGCAAGUCAUUCUAUUCUUAAAAUAAUGAAUGGAAAGGUAUAUUAUAUGCCCUUGGAACAAUGAAUCUACUAGGGCUCUACCCCACUUGAUGAUACUUUACAUUAAUUUUAGGCGAAGUCGACUACUAGAUACAGAGCUAACAUUCCCUGAUUGCACACUAUAAAACCCGUAUUAGUUGUUAAAAAUUGAAAUACUACCAUGCUAGCUGGCAAGUAGUCAUUUCCCAAUAGCCCCUUACAAGCUCACUUUCAACUCCACUGGGUUGGCUCUCUUGGCUCCCCUCCCAAACUUAAUCCAUGACACAGCAACAAAAGAGUAAGUGCUUGGCAUAGCUGGGGAUCCCCACCAGGAUUUUGUUUUAACACUAUGACUUUCUCCCCACAACCUGUGCCUGUUCUGAUAUCCAUAACAAACAACAAACUGGUUAUUAAAUACUGGGUUAAAAGUUUUUAAUAUUAUCCCUACCUAGAGGGAAACACAACAAAUACCAUACUAUAACAAAUAGCCUACUUGGUAAGACAGAGCUGAUGUAGGCUAAUGAAGAAACAAGAAAAGAUUUAAAAUUUUUUUUACAUCUGGGCAUAUUCACAAAACAAAAUCUGACAGAUAAGCAAAGAAGGUGUGAGCUAAUCUGAUCCUUAAUCUUACCCCAAAUUAUUUUUCUACCCACUCUCUGGACUAGAAUAUCCAAUCCUGCUCCUGUGCAUUUAUGAAUGCUCUAAACCACACUUUCCAAUAUGGUAAGGUAGAGGGGGUGUUCUCACAACAUUAGUAAUUCUCUGGUCACCAACUGAGUGUCCUGCAAUUCAACUCAAUUCUGACAUGACCUACUUAGCUAUAGGUAGACCAUAGCCUAUAGGUAGGUCAUAUCAUAAAGGUCGAUCACAUCCUGUAUCCUAGAGGUUAAGGGCCCAGUCCUAUAAGACUGCCCCUCCCCCCCAACUUCAGAUGCCAAUCCCAAGUCCAGGUUGUUACCAGUACUUCUGACCUACCCGCUCUAAAUCAGACAUUCUAACUACUCCCUCCUUGGGUUGUAUUCAUUUGUUAGGGUGGCCCACAGAACUACAGAAAUGUAUUUACUCACUAGAUCACCAGUUUAUUAUAAGCAGCCAGGUGGAAGACAUGCACAGGGCAAGGUAUAGGAAAAGGGGCAGGGAGCUUCCAUGCCCUUCCUGAACAUACAACUCUCCCAGAAUCUCUACUGUUCAACUCAGAAACCCUCUGAACCCUGGCCUCAAGGAUUUUUACAGAGACUUCAUUGCUUGUGCAUGACUGGUUAAAUCAAUGACCAUUGGUGAUUGAUUCAAUGCCCUUCUCCCCUCCCUGGAGAUCAGGCUGUGGGACUAAAAGCUCCAACACUUUUAUCACGUGAUUGGCUCCCCUGGCAACCAGCCCCCAUCCUAAGAGCUAUCCAAAAGUCAUCUCAUCGAUAUAAAACAGUUUUCAGGCUCUUGUCACAGGAAAUUCCAAGAGUUUUUAGACGCUCUGUACCAGAAAUGGAAUGAAGACCAAGAGAAUUUCUCAUAAAUCAAAACAUCGCAUGUACUUAUAUUAAUCUUAGUUUUUGCUUAAGAACUUGGUUAAUCCCUAUGGCUAUUUUGCUUCUUCCUAAUAUGCAUUGCUAACACUAGUAGUCUGCUUUGGGUUUUACAAAACGGCAGCAAGGAGCUUUAAUGCCCUUUCUCUCUUAACUUGAGUUCUUUGUCUCACUUAUCUUUGCUACCAUUCUCUCUGCUACUGUAGGAAUCUGCACUUUCCACUGACUACAACAGAAGUUUAAACUUCUUGGUGGAAGGAAACAUUUUUCUGCUUAAUGAAGAGGCUAAUGCAGAUAACCUUCCCUACAGUAGCUCAGAAUUAUACUGUUUGAUAAUUUCUUGCACAGAACAUUUGUAAUUUCGGAAAGGUGAAUGAUGUCAGAUCUGAAAGUCUUUUAUUCUGUCUUGCUUCAUUCAGAUUCAAAUUUAAGGGGAAACAUUGGAGAACUCACAUGAAUUUCAAUGACUAGUAUUUUCCACCAGUCUGUAGAAGGCACGAAUUUAAAGAAUGAUUAAAGGAUCAACCAUAAGCAUACAUUGCCAGUAAUUCUGCAUUGUCAUCCAAGCAUGUUCAUGGUUAUAAGCCAACCAGCACAUUAGAUUAAUGUUAGUCAGACUUUGGAAAACUAUAAAACCUUCAUGCAUUUUCAAAAUAAUUUCUGAAAUAUUUUAUCUUUACUUUAAAUGUUUAAGUAGCUGUAAAGGUUAUAAAUUCCACAGUAUUAUAAAUAUUGACAUUUUCAAAUAAAAUUCAUACAAUAGCUUGUAACUAUAUGCAAUAAAAUCUUAAUACCAAAGUAAUUUGAUAUUCAUCAAUGUCCAAUUAAAAUUCAUGAACAAACUCUUCAUUAACAAUUGAAGAUUUCAUAUCACUACUUUUUCUUCUUAGAACCACAUUUCCAAUUCAACUUCUCCUGCAGAAUUUAAUACAUUUUUCUUUAAAUGUCUCUUACUGAUCACCAAAAAAUGUCUGCAACAAAAGCAUAUAUGACAUUGAAGUUACUUUUUAUUUCCCCUGAUUAUAUUGUUCUAACUGUUAAAAUUUGGGGUGGGGGGAGGGAAUUGAGCUGUAAGUACAAUUGCUAAUAAUGCACAUUUGAUGAAAACAACUUAAAUACAUUAAAAUUCUUAAAAAAUUUUUAACAUAAAAGGCAAAAGGGUUUUGGAAGUGUGUCUUAAUAAAAUGACUGAGGGCAGAUCUAAAUGCUUUAAUUAAAUGCUUCCCUGACACCAACAAAAAGAAAUAUUCAUUUCUUUAAUGCCCUAGAGGUUUUUAAACAUAAGAGCAAUUCUGCAGAGAUUUCCUCUGUGUAAAGCUGAAGAAGGAUAGUUGUGAAAUGAAAGCUAGGAAAUGAGAACCAUAGUCAGGUUCUCAGACAGAUCAUUUAAAAAAAAAAAAAAGAUACAUAGAGAAGGUGAGGAUCUAGAAAUUAACUCCCUUAAAAUACCUGUCUGUUCUCUCGUUUGAAGAUGACUGCAUUAGACUGCUCCGAAUGUUACUGAUUCAUUCUCAGCCAGUCUUCUUUCAGUAACCAGGUAUGAGGAAAACAAGCAGGCAAUCCAGAGGACAGUCUUAAGUUUCAAUAAACCUGAAAAUUUUCCUAAACCCUGUUUGACAUUUCAGGCUUGGAGGCAUAGCCACUGACGAAUUAGAACACAAUAGAGACUGAGCUCUUGCAUUAUACAAAGUUGUUUGCACACAAGUGGUUUACCCAGGUGUCUUUAUCAUGGAAAAGGCUAUUUUAAAUGCCAUGGUCAUUUAUUAGUAACAUCGUAAAGAGAAAGUUGUUCUAAUCUUGAGGGAGGUGUGGAGUGGGGGGAUGACCAUUGCUAUAUCUUUUUUCUCUAUCAAGCAAGAGCAUUUUCUAGUAGGCACGUAUGGGACACUCUUAAAAGAAGGCAACUUUGUAAUCAUGGCUUACUUUUCUAGCAAUCUAUACAUCCGUAUGAGAAAAGGUUUACAUUCCUGUGUGUUGAAGGUUAACUCAUAGAAAUAGAAAAGUUGUCAUGAGUUCACAGCCUAGAAGAAAAAUUAACCCCAAAUUGUAUGAACUAUACCAGUACUUUAUUUUGCUAUCUGUACAUUUAUAUAUUUUUCUUACAAGCAUCAUUUCAGGUACACCUAGGUUGAAGAGAAAGGUAGCUGGCCCUUUCUAACUUAAUUGAAAUCCUGAAAUUUAAUUUUUUUUUUUUUUUUUUUUUUUUUUUUUUUGUCUUUUCUAGGCCUGCUCCAGGGGCAUAUGGAGGUUCCCAAGCUAGGGGUCUAAUCAGCUGUAGCCGGAUCAUUAACCCACUGAGCAAGGCCAGGGAUUGAACCCGCAACCUUAUGGUUCCUAGUCAGAUUCGUUAACCACUGCGCCACGAAGGGAACUCCAAGAUUUUUCUUGUCAAAGGAAACCUACUGGACCAAAUGUCUUGAAACUUGCCCGGUUAUUUUUCAAUAGUCUAAAUUUAGCCCUGAAGGCAAACAAAAGUAGGUGAUUCUUUUUAUAGUNNNNNNNNNNNNNNNNNNNNNNNNNNNNNNNNNNNNNNACUACACUGCACAUUCUGGCUUUGAACACCAGCUUCACAAAAAUAGACAUGAAGACUUGCAAGAAAGAAAUUUUUUAUCUUAAAAAGUUUUUAAUGUAAAAGGCAAACGGGUUUUGGAAAUGUGUCUUAAUAAAAUGACUGGGGUCAGAUCUAAAUGCUUUAAUUAAAUGCUUCCCUGAUUCAUCUAAUUCAUCUCUUCCUUUCUCAGCCAGAGGUACUCCUAGGGAUAAAGUUCAUCAGGUGUCAGCACAAGUUCUCUUACUUGAAAUGAUCUCAUUAAUCUUAUGUUGAUAUCCUGGCUACAAAAGCCCAUCCUGACGCAUCUAGAGUAUGCCAGGAGUGUAUUUUUCAUUAAAUAACUAAAAGCAUGGUUUUUUUUUUAAUGCUUCCUAGCCGUCCUACUUUCUUUAAAGGCUGUACCUUCUCUAUGAAUUUAUUGAAUUCUGGUGUUCCUAAUCCCUCUUCUAUAUUACACCCAGAUUCUAGACCAUCUCAUCAAUCCUGAACCUCAAAUACCAGUUAACUGUUCUAUCAUGACACAUUUGUAUCUCUAGCCAAGAUCCUUCUUGGUACAACUCCAACUAUAUGCUUCUACCUCAAUAUGCCCCAUAUUGAGCUCAUUAACUCACCACUCUAUAGGUCAUCCUUCUCUAGUGUUCCCUUCUUACAUCCCACCCAAAGUAUUUUCCUUAUGAUAACCAGAGUUAUCAUUUUAAAAUGAAAAUGUAAUUAUUUCACUCUCUUGCUUAAAAUUAAUCAAUGACUACCCAUUUCCAUGGGACAAAAUCCAAAAUCAUCGCUAAGGUUCACAAAACCUUCCUUGCUCUGACUUAUUCCUCAAGCUUCAUAUCCCAUCUCUCAUUUUCACCCAUAUUGGGCUGUGGGCUUACCAUCUCCUGUUUGCCCUUCCAGGUCCUACUUCCAUUCUUCUGCACCCUGUUGUGGGCCCGAGGUGGCUGACCUGUAGGGACCACGUCAAUGGACUCUCUUGCCUUCUGGUUUUUAGUUGGUUUUGGCCCAAGGGGAGCACCUGCAGAGAUCAGGAGGAAAGGAGGAGCAUAAGCUCAGGGUAUGCCCCCUUCCUGUGGGAUUGAUAGAAGCUGACAAUGACCCUUUUUCACAUGGUCAGCUCUUUAAGUCAGCCUCUCCAAGCAGACCCUCUAUCUCCAGGUUCCAAUAAUCACUCUGUCCCUUCCAUUUAAGGUUCAGAGUGAUGCUAGUCCCAGAAUAUAACACUAUCCCCUAUCUGUUCCCUUCUCCCUGCUUAUACUUUGUAACUAGUGCCACAUUAAAUUCUCCCCAAAUUUGACAAUUUUUCUGUACAAGAUUUCCUGCUAGAAUACUGACUGAUACUGUCUGCUUUGAGAUAUCAUAAAAUGUGCCUAUUUUGACUUUAAUGCUACUUCUUCAGGGAGGAUUUUCCUAGCCCCCUUAUUCAGGUAUAACCGCCUGCUAAACCUCCUACAGCAUCCUGUACUCUCCCCUCACAUCUGCCACACUUAGUGGCAAUAGCUGAGAGGGUGUUAAUAUCACCUUUUCUGAUGGGCUGUGCAUUCCACAACAUCAUUGACUGAGCAUGUCUUACCAUAGCCAUGGCCUAAGAGCUCAACCUGGCAUCUGGAACACAGUGGAUUAUCAGUAGUUAUUUGUUGAAUUCAUAAAAAGAUGAUUGAGGAGUUUCAGUUGUGGCUCAGCGGUAACGAACUUGACUAGUAUUCAUGAGGGUGUGGGUUUGAACCUUGGCCUUGCCCAGUGGGUUAAGGAUCCGGCACUGCUGCGAGCUGCAGUGUAGGUCACAAAUGCAGCUCAGAUCUGGUGAUGCUGUGGCAUAAGUCAUCAGCUACAGCUCCGAUUCUACCCCUAGCCUAGGAACUUCCAUAUGCCUCGGGUGUAGCCCUAAAAAAAAAGAAAGAAAAAGAAAAAAAA